rnacentral:rRNA from 1 species
AACGAACGCUGGCGGCAUGCCUAACACAUGCAAGUCGAACGAGACCUUCGGUUCUAGUGGCGCACGGGUGCGUAACACGUGGGAAUCUGCCCUUUGCUUCGGAAUAACAGUUAGAAAUGACUGCUAAUACCGGAUGAUGUCGAAUGACCAAAGAUUUAUCGGCAAAGGAUGAGCCCGCGUAGGAUUAGGUAGUUGGUGGGGUAAGGGACUACCAAGCCGACGAUCCUUAGCUGGUCUGAGAGGAUGAUCAGACACACUGGGACUGAGACACGGCCCAGACUCCUACGGGAGGCAGCAGUGGGGAAUAUUGGACAAUGGGCGAAAGCCUGAUCCAGCAAUGCCGAGUGAGUGAUGAAGGCCUUAGGGUUGUAAAGCUCUUUUACCAGGGAUGAUAAUGACAGUACCUGGAGAUUAAGCUCCGGCUAACUCCGUGCCAGCCGCCGCAGUAACAC